rnacentral:piRNA from 1 species
AGUGCACCAUCGACGACCCCACCAAGCAGACCAAGU